AUGAAGAAACAGCUUUGCUGGUGCCAGAGAAAUGCUGAUAGCCUGGAAGAGGACGUAUGCAUACUUCUCCCUUCACUACUCUUUCCCCAAGGGAGUCUGCAGGGUGAAAUGUGCACUUGGCACACAAGGACGAGAUGCAGGCAGGCAGUGCGCAGGGGAUGCACCACUAUGUGCAGGACUUGCAGGAUGUGCCAGUGCAAGACUUUUUCCUUUCUUAACCUCAGAACAGAGACUGUACAAUUGAAAAUAAUAUUCAAUUCAUUGGAUAGAAAGGAAGAAAAGACCAGACUUUGUUUGUACAGCUUGCUGGAUGUAGUUAUCAAGUGGAUUCCAGCUUUUAUACCACAGUUUGAGCAGGUAAGACGUGUGAGCUCAGUGGUUGACCUGUUGGCUUUUUAUAUGAUCUUGGCCAAGUCACAUAAUUCUGUGGUUCAGCUUCCAUAAGCUCUAGUGGUGAUAACCAAGGCCAAUUGUUUUUUGGAACUAUGCUUAUUCAUAGCAUAAUAUGAAGAUUGCUC
rnacentral:lncRNA from 1 species